rnacentral:rRNA from 1 species
CCGCGGUAAUACGGAGGGUGCGAGCGUUAAUCGGAAUUACUGGGCGUAAAGCGCGCGUAGGCGGCUUGAUAAGCCGGUUGUGAAAGCCCCGGGCUCAACCUGGGAACGGCAUCCGGAACUGUCAGGCUAGAGUGCAGGAGAGGAAGGUAGAAUUCCCGGUGUAGCGGUGAAAUGCGUAGAGAUCGGGAGGAAUACCAGUGGCGAAGGCGGCCUUCUGGACUGACACUGACGCUGAGGUGCGAAAGCGUGGGUAGCAAACAGGAUUAGAUACCCUGGUAGUCCACGCCGU